rnacentral:rRNA from 1 species
GACGAACGCUGGCGGCGUGCCUAAUACAUGCAAGUAGAACGCUGAAGGAGGAGCUUGCUUCUCUGGAUGAGUUGCGAACGGGUGAGUAACGCGUAGGUAACCUGCCUGGUAGCGGGGGAUAACUAUUGGAAACGAUAGCUAAUACCGCAUAAUAGUAGAUGUUGCAUGACAUUUGCUUAAAAGGUGCAAUUGCAUCACUACCAGAUGGACCUGCGUUGUAUUAGCUAGUUGGUGAGGUAACGGCUCACCAAGGCAACGAUACAUAGCCGACCUGAGAGGGUGAUCGGCCACACUGGGACUGGGACACGGCCCAGACUCCUACGGGAGGCAGCAGUAGGGAAUCUUCGGCAAUGGACGGAAGUCUGACCGAGCAACGCCGCGUGAGUGAAGAAGGUUUUCGGAUCGUAAAGCUCUGUUGUAAGAGAAGAACGAGUGUGAGAGUGGAAAGUUCACACUGUGACGGUAUCUUACCAGAAAGGGACGGCUAACUACGUG